CACCGCGGUUAUACGAAAGACCCUAGUUGAUAAACACGGCGUAAAGGGUGGUUACGGAAAAACAAUUAAUAAAGCUAAAGACCCUCUAAGCCGUCAUACGCACUCCGAGACCACGAAACCCAAACACGAAAGUAGCUUUAAACACAUAUCUCCCGACCCCACGAAAGCUAAGAAA
rnacentral:rRNA from 1 species